GUGUCAGCCGCCGCGGUAAUACCCGCAGCACAAGUGGUGGUCAUUAUUAUUGGGCCUAAAGCGUCCGUAGCAGGCUUGUUAGAUGCCUGGGUAAAUCGAUGCGCUCAACGCAUCGACUUCCGGGUAGACCGGCAAGCUCGAGACCGGGAGAGGCGUGGGCUACUCGAGGGGUAGGGGUAAAAUCCUGUAAUCCUUCGGGGAGGACCAGUGGCGAAGGCGCCACGCUAGAACGGCUCUGACUGUGAGGGACGAAGCCCUGGGGCGCAAACCGGAUUAGAUACCCCUGUAGUCC
rnacentral:rRNA from 1 species